AACGAACGCUGGCGGCAUGCCUAACACAUGCAAGUCGAACGAGACCUUCGGGUCUAGUGGCGCACGGGUGCGUAACGCGUGGGAACCUGCCCUUAGGUUCGGAAUAACUCCCCGAAAGGGGUGCUAAUACCGGAUAAUGUCUUCGGACCAAAGAUUUAUCGCCUUUGGAUGGGCCCGCGUUGGAUUAGCUAGUUGGUAGGGUAAAAGCCUACCAAGGCGACAAUCCAUAGCUGGUCUGAGAGGAUGAUCAGCCACACUGGGACUGAGACACGGCCCAGACUCCUACGGGAGGCAGCAGUGGGGAAUAUUGGACAAUGGGCGAAAGCCUGAUCCAGCAAUGCCGCGUGAGUGAUGAAGGCCUUAGGGUUGUAAAGCUCUUUUACCCGGGAUGAUAAUGACAGUACCGGGAGAAUAAGCGCCGGCUAACUCCGUG
rnacentral:rRNA from 1 species